UCCCUGGAGGUCCAGUGGUUAAGAUUCUGUACUUCCAACACAGGGGGUAUGGGUUUGAUCCCUGUUCAGGGAG
rnacentral:tRNA from 1 species